rnacentral:lncRNA from 12 species
CAGUGACUUAAAAAGUAUGCUCUAUGCUCCAUGUGGUGGAGACUGGAAAGAUUCUCUCUAACCUGUUUUCUCUUCCUGCUAACACAAAAGAAAAAAAAAAAAAAUAAACAACUAUCUUUCCCAGUUUCCCAUGUGAGCAGCUCUGGCCAAUGAAAUUUAGAUAGAAGAUAACAAAUCCAUUUUCUGGCUUGGAAAUAAGCUUUCUGCCCUAUCUUCUUGACCUCAUCAUUAUGAAUAAACAAAAGUGACUUUGACAUGGUAAAGACACACAAUGAGAAGACUCACAAAUCUGAGAAUGCUCAACCUGUAUAAAGGUCUAUACAUAAAUGGUGAACUGCCUUCUAAGGUGCAUGGGUCCAGUGAACUGCUGAUCUUUACUUAUCUUCCAGGGGGGUGUGAAUUUGCACCUGAAUUGAACUUUUAAGAUCAAUAAUAGAGAGGAAGAACCACUGCAACUAAUACCUUUUUCCGCUCACAAAGUAUUCAGCCUUGCUUCUUAAGAAAUGUUUAAUAAAUAUUUAAAGAAAACCA